rnacentral:rRNA from 1 species
CCUACGGGUGGCAGCAGUGGGGAAUAUUGCACAAUGGGGGGAACUCUGAUGCAGCAACGCCGCGUGGGUGAAGAAGGACUCCGGAAUUUAAAGCUCUGUCAGCAGGGAAGAAAAUGACGGUACCUGACCAAGAAGCCACGGCUAACUACGUGCCAGCAGCCGCGGUAAUACGUAGGGGGCAAGCGUUAUCCGGAUGUACGGGGUUUAAAGGGAGCGUAGACGGCAAGGCAAGUCUGGAGUGAAAUCCCGUGGCUCAACCACGGGACUGCUUUGGAUACUGUGUUGCUAGAGUGCAGGAGGGGUAAGCGGAAUGCAUAGUGUAGCGGUGAAAUGCGUAGAUAUUAGGAGGAACACCGGUGGCGAAGGCGGCUUACUGGACUGUAACUGACGUUGAGGCUCGAAGGCGUGGGGAGCAAACAGGAUUAGAUACCCGUGUAGUC